rnacentral:lncRNA from 1 species
UGAGAUAGAGUUUCACUCUUGUUGCCCAGGCUGGAGUGCAAUGGCACAAUCUCAGCUCAUUGCAACCUCCACCUCCCAGGUUAAAGCAAUUCUCCUGACUCAGCCUCCCAAGUAGCUGGGAUUACAGACAUGCACCACCACGCCCGGCUAAUUUUGUAUUUUUUUAGUAUAGACGGGGUUUCUCCAUGUUGGUCAGGCUGGUCUCAAACUCCCAACCUCAGGUGAUCCACCCGCCUCGGCCUCCCAAAGUACUGGGAUUACAGGCGUGAGACUCCUGUCUGUACAAGAAAGUAAUAGAUAGAUAGAUAGAUAGAUAGAUAGAUAGAUAGAUAGAUAGAUAGGCAGACAGUAGGUGGCUUGCACCUGUAGUCCCUGUUACACCGGAGGCAAAGGUGGGAUAAUUGCUUGAGCCUAGGAGUUUGAGGCUGCAGUGAGCUAUGAUCGUACCGCUGCAUUCCAGCUUGGGAGACAGAGCAAUUAAAAAAAAAAAAGAAAGAAGAUUUGAUAUAAACUCACCUCAAUUAACCCAUGACUGUCUUUAGAAAAUACCGAAUCACCUGACAGCAAAAGGGGCUCGCUUUUUUCAAAGCUCUCCUGGCUGACGAGCAUGUCUGCAUAGUUGGGCUGGGGGAAGAUCAGGUGACUCUUCCGCGAGUCCGUGGUGAGGGAAACCUCGUGGGAAUAGGUCUGCAGGAAAGCCUGCACCCCGUCCACGCCCACAAAGUGCGACGCCGGCGCUCCUGUCAAGCCGCCUCCUGAAGCCUGCAGCAGGCGUGACUUGUGCCAGCGCCGCAGCCUGAGCGCCAGCAGCAAGAUGACGAAGGCCAGGAAGACGCAGGAGACCGCGGCCACCGCUACCACCAGGUACAGAGUGAGGUCUGAGGUUUCAGAGUUAGCUGGAGACUCGAGGCUGCCGAGGUCCGCCAGGACUUGGGGGAUGCUGUCGGCCACGGCCACGGUGAGCGUGACAGUGGCGGAGAGAGGGGGCUGGCCGUGGUCCUGGACGGCCACUACGAGGCUCUGCUUGAGCGCGUCUCUGUCCAGCAGGGCUCGCGCCGUGCGCACCUCGCCCGUGUGCAGACCCACCGAGAAGAGUCCCGGCUCGCUGGCCUUGAGCAGACGGUAGGACAGCCAGGCGUUCUGGCCGGAGUCUCUGUCCACCGCCACCACCUUGGUCACCAGGUAGCCGGGCUCUGCGGAGCGGGGAGCCAGCUCCACGCCAGUGGAACCGUCCGUGGGGAGGGCGGGGUACAGGAUCUCGGGCGCAUUGUCGUUCUGGUCCAGCACGAACAGGCUCAACGACACGUUGCUGCUGAGGGGCGGGUGCCCGUUGUCCCGCGCCAUCACUUUCACUUGCAAGUCUCGGAACUGCUCGUAGUCGAAGGAGCUCAGCGCAUACAGUACCCCAGUGUCGGAGUUGAUGGACACGUAGGACGAUAGGCUUGCCCCUUGGAUGGUGUUCUCAGCCAGGGAAUAAGUGAUCUGGGCGUUCUCUUCACAGUCGGGGUCGUGGGCGGUCACAGAGACGAGGGAAACUCCUCUGGGAUUGUUCUCUGGGAUAUAAGCGGAAUAGGAGGCCUGAGGGAAGACCGGCGGGUUGUCGUUGGUGUCUGCCACGUUCAGCGAGAUAUGAGUUUCCGUGGAUAGGGGCGGGGUUCCCCGGUCAGUGGCGGUCACUGUGAUGUUGUAGCUAGGAACCUGUUCCCUAUCCAAGACUAUGUCUGUGACUAAACUAUAGUAAUUUCCGUAAGAUUUUUCUAAUUUAAAGGGCAGAUUUCCUUGGAUGAAACAGAUCACCUGUCCGUUUUCCUCAGAAUCUUGGUCAUUUACAUUUAAAAGGGCAAUUAAUGUCCCUCUGGGAGAGUUUUCGGGAACCGAGCUGGCGAGAGAGGUGAGGACCACUUCUGGGGCAUUGUCGUUCACGUCCAGAACAGUGAUCAGGACUUUGGCUCGCGCAGAAUAUCCUGCAUUAUCCAUUGCUUGCACUUCCAUCUGGUAGAAUCCUGACUCCUCGUGGUCCAACUCCCCUAUUGUUGAUAUUGUCCCUGAAUUACAAUCUAGUUUGAAAACUUGGGCCGCCUUGUCGUCCACAUACCGGAAGGAAUACCUCACUUCCGCAUUGACUCCUUCGUCAGGGUCGGUAGCGUUGACUACAAGCAGCUGCGUGCCCAAGGCCAGAUUCUCCGGAACGCUCGCGCGGUACUCGGGCUGAGCAAACGCUGGUGCGUUGUCGUUCGCAUCCAGAACCAUCACGCGGAUGCGCGCGGUGCCUGUGCGCACCGGGUCGCCCCCGUCGGAGGCCGUAAGGACCAGGUGGUGAGCAGCCUUUUCUUCGCGGUCCAGGGCGCGUUUCAGCACCAAUUCGGGGUACUUACUACCGUCGGCUCCAUUUUGCACGAUGAGGGAGAAGUGAGUGUUCGGGCUGAGCUCGUAGCUCUGCAGAGAGUUCUUCCCGAUAUCCGGAUCCCAGGCGUGGGGUAGAGGGAACCGCAUCUCAGUGGCUGCAUUUUCACUAAUUUUUAUUUCUAAUUCACUUUCACGAAAGUAAGGCGCAUUGUCGUUAAUGUCCCUUACUUCUACUUCUACUCCAUAUAUUUUCACUUUAUCCUCCAUCAGAAUGUCUAGAUUUAAUUGACACUUGAUGGCCCCCAUACAGAGCUCCUCCCGGUCUAUCCUGCCCGCCGUGACCAAGCUGCCGCUGCGCGGAUUCAGGGCGAAAAGCUGCGUCCUACCUCUGGGGAUGAUGCGGACUCCGCGCUCCGCGAGCUCCCGGGGCUCCAGCCCCAGGUCCCUGGAGAUGUCGCCCACCCUAGAGCCUUUCUCCAGCUCUUCCGGAACUGAAUAGCGUAUCUGGGUGCAUCCGGUCUCCCACAGAGUCCCCAGGAGGAUUCCCAGCAGGACAAGCCCUUUGUAGUCCCGGUGCAGUCGCGCAGGAAUCAUUCUUAUCUUCCUCCAGAAUUAUUUUCAAUUCUGCCCUUAACCACUGAAGUCAGGAGCAGUUCCUUCGCCCAUAGAAUGGGACAGUUGGGAAGUCAGAGCUCCUCCGUUGUUUCCACAUACUCCCAGGGAUGGUUCAUUCCUAGCUAUCUGCUUUGUGCUUCAGGCGCGUGCAAGGCGAGCAGGAUCUCCGCUUUUCUCUCCCCGAUUGGUGAACAGCGGCGCUCAGAGUCCUAACCAAUUACUGCACAAUCUUGAACUCCCAGAAAGGAUAUUUCGUUUUUAUAUCUUAAAUAGCUCCACCUACUGUUCUUCAAAAGGGGAUGGAAAUCUACCGUAUUCGCUUUAAUAGAAACUUUAGUGAGCUUUUUU